AAAGGAGCUUCAGUUGAGAAAAUGCCUCCAUGAGAUCCAGCUGUAAGGCAUUUUCUCAAUUAGUGAU
ensembl:miRNA Gm56142 predicted gene, 23992